ensembl:lncRNA
CGAAAGAGUUGCUGCCGUUAAUCAAGGGCACAUCUUUAACACGCAGAUCUGCAACACACUCAAAGACUGGACACGUUCUCCUACUUGUCAUCUACAGUCACUAGGAGGAAGAAUGUGAAGAAGAGCUCUUUACCAUGAAGUAAUGACACCCAUACGUACAAACAUCCAGGAGUAGGCCCGUCACGUGGCAGGAGAAAAACACCACCGAAGCGAUGACAAAAAUAAGAAGCUAUUAAAAAUAAAUAUAAUCACAAACUCUUUCACGGCAAAAUAGAACAAACGCUAUCAAUUCAGACGAAAAAAUGAAUACCCCAGGGACACCAGGAUCCAGAGAGCCGCAGAAAUCGCUGGGCAAAACUACGAGAAAUGCCCCCGAAAAACCAACUUGUUGCCAGAUUUUCACUGCUGCUGUGCAGAGAGUUGAAGGCAGAGGGUUAAAAUCCAGCGAGUAGUAAAAAAAAAAAAAAAAAAAAAAACCUCUCCCUCUGUGGAAGGGCGGGCAGCUGUGGGGAGGCCCUGACUGUAGAAAUAGCAGCAGAUUUUUUUUUCCCCCGUGGAGCUCUAGUCUCCCCCUUGCGUGCGGCUGGAGCUGAGAAAAGGGGAGCGAGCAAGAGAAGAGAGGAGAGGAGGAGAGCAGGCGCAGAGUGAAGGAGAGAAAAGCUCGACUGAUGAUGAAAUAGGAGGUGCGGCGGAGCGCAAGAGCCAGACACUUUUUCAUUACACGUCUAACACGGCAAGGAACUGUAUAUGCACUUCAGAGAGAGAGAGAGAGAGAGAGAGAGAGGGAGGGAGGGAGGGAGAGAGAAGGCUGGGAGACAGACACUGAGAGGGAGAGAGAGAGAGAGAGAGACGGGGAGAGCGGGAGGGCGGAAAACAGGCGAAGGUGGGAGGGGGAGGAGGAAGAACGACACAGCAAUCCACUCCUCCUCCUCCAGCAGUGCGCAGGCGCAGUGAACACUGCACACACCAUACUAGCACACUGCACACUCCGACAGUCAACUAGAGACAUAUGCAGACAACAAGAGGGAAUGGAGAGAGAAGAGAAAACAGAGUGGACUGCCCUGCUGAGGGACCAUGGAAAUACACUUGUGGGAGCAGGUUAAAUAUUAACCUUAUCUUGUACACUAAAGUACAGUAGCUCUCUCUCUCCCUCUCUCUCUCUCUCUCUCUUGUCAAGCUGCAACAGUCUGUCUGGAUCCCAUUCUGCUGCCAGUCCCGACUCACAGAGAGAGUAUUAACUCUUUAGCAUACCACAGCGACUAGCGUGAAAGCAGCACAGCGAAGACAAAAAGCACACAUGGAAAAGCCUGGUUAUUUGAGUAUAAUAGUGUAGCGUAGCAUGUGUCAGGGUACAGAGUAAUACAGUUACUGUACAGUUAGACCUCCUCCUUCGGCCCUGGCUCUCACUCCCAGGGGCUAAACAUUGUACGACCCUUACAGCUAUUUUGGCAAGGAGUCAAAAGCCUGAUAAGCGUUUUGGGUGAGACCUCACUGCUUUUCUGGAGGAAAAACAGCUGCCGUGAUUGGAAUGUGAUUCAGAAUUCACAGAAAACAGGAGAAGUUCAGAUUUAAAAAAGCUGAGAAUAGCCUCUCCGAAUAUCAAAGGGACUCUGUAAUGACGAAGCACUACUUAUUCCGGUUUUAAACCAGAAGGAGAACAUUGUUUGGUAUAUCUCGGUCUAAAUUAUUCCUCACCCUAAAAUCGUGACUCGCUCUGCCCUCCCUAAACUCUGCUGUUUCCGCUUGCAUACCCACACACCAUGUUGUACUACAGGACUACAAAACAUCAUGGCAGGAGCUCGAAAAAAGAAAGAAAGAAAAAAGAAAACUGUAAAAUAUCUGCAUGUUGUGGACUUAUUUUGAUGGCUUACAUCUUUAAUGCCAAAUGAGAAGUUAAAGAGGGGAGCAGGGGACUCAUGCCUGUCAAAGAAAAAGUUUACAACCAACAGGAGUACAGGCCAGAUUUCGAGCGGUGUGAGAUCAGCAACAGCUACCCAUCAGCAUACUAGACAUACAGAACUGAACCAUCAAAUGAACCGAUUGAUCGGAAGCCGUUCAGGAGGAUAAAGGCAAACCACAAGACCGGCUGGCCUUACGUACACAGGGACGAAACGCUUCCCUCUCUAGGAACAGAGACUGAGUGGGUCGCACGUGUCGAAACAACUUCUCUAUUACACCCGAGACCUCUGAGGGCACUCCCCAUCGAGAAGGGAACAAAGGCCAUGACCCCGGGGUCAAAAGCGUUACCCAGGAGGCCGGGCAGGCCCAUUGAGGGUCUAGUGUUGUUUGCUUUAAGAAGGUAAAGGUUACUAACACAUUAACUAGCGUUGAUUACGGGGUUAUCCCCCAAGGGCCAUCACCCACAGGGUCUACACAUUACGUCGAAUUAACACCCUGUGACCUCUGACCUGGCCCGUCACCUCAGGCAGCCAAGUGUGACUGCCACUCUCCCUCUCUAUGUGUAGGGAUAGCACACAAACAAACGAACACACACACACACACACACACACACACA